UACGUAGGGUGCGAGCGUUAAUCGGAAUUACUGGGCGUAAAGCGUGCGCAGGCGGUUCGUGAUGUCUGAUGUGAAAGCCCCGGGCUCAACCUGGGAAUGGCAUUGGAAACUAGCGGGCUGGAGUGUGGCAGAGGGGGGUGGAAUUCCAUGUGUAGCAGUGAAAUGCGUAGAGAUGUGGAGGAAUACCGAUGGCGAAGGCAGCCCCCUGGGAUAACACUGACGCUCAUGCACGAAAGCGUGGGGAGCAAACAGG
rnacentral:rRNA from 1 species